AUUGAACGCUGGCGGCAGGCCUAACACAUGCAAGUCGAGCGGAUGAGUGGAGCUUGCUCCAUGAUUCAGCGGCGGACGGGUGAGUAAUGCCUAGGAAUCUGCCUGGUAGUGGGGGACAACGUUUCGAAAGGAACGCUAAUACCGCAUACGUCCUACGGGAGAAAGCAGGGGACCUUCGGGCCUUGCGCUAUCAGAUGAGCCUAGGUCGGAUUAGCUAGUAGGUGAGGUAAAGGCUCACCUAGGCGAAGAUCCGUAACUGGUCUGAGAGGGAUGAUCAGUCACACUGGAACUGAGACACGGUCCAGACUCCUACGGGAGGCAGCAGUGGGGAAUAUUGGACAAUGGGCGAAAGCCUGAUCCAGCCAUGUCGCGUGUGUGAAGAAGGUCUUCGGAUUGUAAAGCACUUUAAGUUGGGAGGAAGGGCAGUAAGUUAAUACCUUGCUGUUUUGACGUUACCAACAGAAUAAGCACCGGCUAACUUCGUGCCAGCAGCCGCCGUAAAAC
rnacentral:rRNA from 1 species